UACGGAGGGGGCGAGCGUUGUCCGAAGUUACUGGGCGUAAAGAGCGCGCAGGCGGUCGAUCAAGUCGAGUGUGAAAGCCCCCGGCUCAACUGGGGAGGGUCAUUCGAUACUGAUCGACUCGAAGGCAGGAGAGGGUAGUGGAAUUUCCGGUGUAGUGGUGAAAUGCGCAGAUAUCAGGAGGAACACCGGUGGCGAAGGCGGGUCUCUGGGCCGUAACUGACGCUGAGGAGCGAAAGCGUGGGGAGCGAACAGG
rnacentral:rRNA from 1 species